rnacentral:rRNA from 1 species
AUUGAACGCUGGCGGCAGGCCUAACACAUGCAAGUCGAACGGUAACAGGAAGCAGCUUGCUGCUUCGCUUACGCGUGGCGGACGUGUGAGUAAUGUCUGUGACGCUGCCUGAUGGAGGGGGAUACCUACUGGAAACGGUAGCUAAUACCGCAUAAUUUCGCAAGCCCAAAGUGGGGGACCUUCGGGCCUCUUUCCAUCGGAUUUGCCCAGAUGGGAUUAGCUUGUUGGUGGGGUAACGGCUCACCAAGGCGACGAUCCAUAGCUGGUCUGAGAGGAUGACCAGCCACACUGGAACUGAGACACGGUCCAGACUCCUACGGGAGGCAGCAGUGGGGAAUAUUGCACAAAGGGCGCAAGCCUGAUGCAGCCAUGCCGCGUGUAUGAAGAAGGCCUUCGGGUUGUAAAGUACUUUCAGCGGGGAGGAAGGGAGUAAAGUUAAUACCUUUGCUCAUUGACGUUACCCGAAGAAGAAGCACCGGCUAACUACGUG